rnacentral:tRNA from 1 species
AUUUGAAUAAUUUAAUUAAAAUAUCAGUUUGUGGUUCUGAAAACGUAUAAAUAUUUACUUCAAAUU